rnacentral:lncRNA from 1 species
UAUAGUUGAUUGUGUAUGACUGGGAUGUCCCAAAUGCCUGACUAGGGUGCUAUGAGGGCAUGACUGGGGUGUUAGAUGAAGACAUUAUAAAUGAAGGUGUGAUCGAUACAAUAGAACAAUUAUUACAAAGAUAUGAUGUCUGUAUGUAUUAUAUAGUUGAUUGUGUAUGACUGGGAUGUCCCAAAUGCCUGACUAGGGUGCUAUGAGGGCAUGACUGGGGUGUUAGAUGAAGACAUUAUAAAUGAAGGUGUGAUCGAUACAAUAGAACAAUUAUUACAAAGAUUAGAUGUCUGUAUGUAAUAUAUAGUUGAUUGUGUAUGACUGUGAUGUCCAAAAUGCCUGACUAGGGUGCUAUGAGGGCAUGACUGGGGUGUUAGAUGAAGACAUUAUAAAUGAAUGUGUGAUAGAUACAAUAGAACAAUUAUUACAAAGAUAUGAUGUCUGAAUGUAUUAUAUAGUUGAUUGUGUAUGACUGGGAUGUCCCAAAUGCCUGAUUAGGGUGUUACAAGGGCAUGACUGGGGUGUUAGAUGAAGACAUUAUAAAUGAAGGUGUGAUAGAUACAAUAGAACAAUUAUUACAAAGAUAUGAUGUCUGAAUGUAUUAUAUAGUUGAUUGUGUACGACUAGGAUGUCACAAAUUCCUGACUAGGGUGUUACAAGGGCAUGACUGGGGUGUUAUAUGAAGACAUUAUAAAAGAAUGUGUGAUAGAUACAAUAGAACAAUUAUUACAAAGAUAUGAUGUCUGUAUGUAUUAUAUAGUUGAUUGUGUAUGACUGGGAUGUCCCAAAUGCCUGACUAGGGUGCUAUGAGGGCAUGACUGGGGUGUUAGAUGAAGACAUUAUAAAUGAAGGUGUGAUUGAUACAAUAGAACAAUGAUUACAAAGAUAUGAUGUCUGUAUGUAUUAUAUAGUUGAUUGUGUAUGACUGGGAUGUCCCAAAUGCCUGACUAGGGUGUUAAAAGGGCAUGAGUGGGGUGUUAGAUAGGACAUUAUAAAACAAAUGUGUGAUAGAUACAAUAGAACAAUUAUUACAAAGAUAUGAUGUCUGUAUGUAUUAUAUAGUUGAUUGUGUAUGACUGGGAUGUCGCAAAUGCCUGACUAGGGUGUUAUGAGGGCAUGACUGGGGUGUUAGUUGAAGACAUUAUCAAUGCAGGUGUGAUCGAUACAAUAGAACAAUUAUUACAAAGAUAUGAUGUCUGUAUGUAUUAUAUAGUUGAUUGUGUAUGACUGGGAUGUCCCAAAUGCCUGAUUAGGGUGUUACAAGGGCAUGACUGGGGUGUUAGAUGAAGACAUUAUCAAUGAAGGUGUGAUAGAUACAAUAGAACAAUUAUUACAAAGAUAUGAUGUCUGAAUGUAUUAUAUAGUUGAUUGUGUACGACUAGGAUGUCACAAAUUCCUGACUAGGGUGUUAUGAGGGCAUGACUGGGGUGUUAUAUUGUAACGCCGUAGGGCUAUGCUUAGUUCUUGUGUACCUUAAACCGUGUGAUAAAACGAUUCGUACAAUAGUGGGACUUUGACUGUUUAUAGUUUUACCGGUCAAAGUUACACCAAUAUACAAGAAAGGACUGUAAUAUCCAGACAAGACCACUAAAUACAAGAAGAACCUUUAAUAUAGCCACAACAUUAUGUUAUCUAUAAGGGAUCGUUGAGUCUCUGGCUUUUGGUGAAUAUGAAUGAGAAAGUUGGAUAUACAAUAUAUAAUUUAUUAAUUACGUAUAUGAAAUAUUUAUAAUAUAUUAUGAAUAAAAAUGUUUUAUUAUUGUCAAUAUAUUUCUGGGUAGCUGCCUGAUCUUCUUGCACAAUGUAUUUUUCUGCGGAAAAAUACUCGGAACCUUUAUAUAGAUAUGGAAAUAACGGACAGUCUUCUUUCUUUAACUGACGGUUGCUAUGACGUAGUAAUAUUCUAUAUUAUAACUCUAUACAAUUUAUAAAGUAUCUAACUCGAUACGUUAUUUAUUUGUACGAUAAUAAUUUAUACUGUUGCCUUAAUUCGG